rnacentral:rRNA from 1 species
AUUGAACGCUGGCGGCAGGCCUAACACAUGCAAGUCGAGCGGAUGAAGGGAGCUUGCUCCUGGAUUCAGCGGCGGACGGGUGAGUAAUGCCUAGGAAUCUGCCUGGUAUUGGGGGAUAACGUCCGGAAACGGGCGCUAAUACCGCAUACGUCCUGAGGUUGAACGUGGGGGAUCUUCGGACCUCACGCUAUCUGAUGAGCCUAGGUCGGAUUAGCUAGUUGGUGAGGUAAAGGCCUACCAAGGCGACGAUCCGUAACUGGUCUGAGAGGAUGAUCAGUCACACUGGAACUGAGACACGGUCCAGACUCCUACGGGAGGCAGCAGUGGGGAAUAUUGGACAAUGGGCGAAAGCCUGAUCCAGCCAUGCCGCGUGUGUGAAGAAGGUCUUCGGAUUGUAAAGCACUUUAAGUUGGGAGGAAGGGCAGUAAGUUAAUACCUUGCUGUUUUGACGUUACCAACAGAAUAAGCACCGGCUAACUUCGUG